rnacentral:rRNA from 1 species
GUGAGGAAUAUUGCGCAAUGGAGGCAACUCUGACGCAGCCAUGCCGCGUGCAGGAAGAAGGCGCUACGCGUUGUAAACUGCUUUUAACCGGGAAGAAACCCCAGGACGUGUCCUGGGUUGACGGUACCGGAGGAAUAAGCACCGGCUAACUUCGUGCCAGCAGCCGCGGUAAUACGAAGGGUGCAAGCGUUAUCCGGAUUCAUUGGGUUUAAAGGGUGCGUAGGCGGAGCGUUAAGUCAGUGGUGAAAUCCUGCAGCUUAACUGUAGACUUGCCAUUGAUACUGGCGCUCUUGAGUGCGCUUGAAGUGGGCGCAAUGUGCCGUGUAGCGGUGAAAUGCUUAGAUAUGGCACAGAACACCAAUUGCGAAGGCAGCUCACUAAGGCGAUACUGACGCUGAGGCACGAAAGCGUGGGGAUCGAACAGGAUUAGAUACCCGGGUAGUCC